CCUGUAUUGUUGUUCGCCUCAGGGAAUCCAUCCAGAGGCUGUGAGUGACCUGGUGGUGAAGAAACCCAAGUCGGUGGGGAAGACUGGAGUCAAGUCCACACUCUACAGAGCGUAUGCUGAGGGAAUAUCCAGCUUGGAGUUGGUACCAUCUCAGCUGUGCUGACCUGGAAGAUGUCAGCAAUGACCUGUUCUUUAAGGCCAGUUGCUACUCUACAACAGUAGAUGAAAACUCAUCAAUGACUGGAAUCUUCCUUGAAGGGCGUGGUGUUGGAAUCGCCUCUUGUCCAAUCCUCUGUGCUUUGCUCCAAUGAAGAAUAUAUUGUGUUGAGGGGCAAAACAGACUCCCAAAACACUUGAAACACUUCUGAGAUGGAAACCGAGUAUAAUAUGUCAUGGUCUGAUCAGACACACAAAACCUGUUGAGGACAGUUUGUGGCCCCAUGGACAUUUCUUGCAGCCUUGCCUCCAGCUCAGCAAUAUACUCCAGGGCAUCAUCCAGUGCACCUACAAAAAAAGAAGACAAAUAAGUCUUCAUUACCAUUCAUUCGUAUUCACCCUUUUUUUUUAUUGUAUUGUUAUUCUGUAUACUUAAGUUUAUUUAUAUUUCUUAUUAUUAAAUUUAUUUGUACUGUU